rnacentral:siRNA from 1 species
CAAGAAGCGAUCAGAUGCUGAACA